AGUGAACGCUGGCGGUAGGCCUAACACAUGCAAGUCGAACGGCAGCACAGUAGGAGCUUGCUCUUAGGGGGGGGGGGUGGCGGGCGGGUGAGGAAUGCAUCGGAAUCUACUUUUUGGUGGGGGAGGACGUAGGGAGACUUACGCUAAUACCGCAUACGACCUAAGGGUGAAAGCAGGGGAUCUUCGGACCUUGCGGGAUUGAAUGAGCCGAUGUCGGAUUAGCUAGUUGGCGGGGUAAAGGCCCACCAAGGCGACGAUCCGUAGCUGGUCUGAGAGGAUGAUCAGCCACACUGGAACUGAGACACGGCCCAGACUCCUACGGGAGGCAGCAGUGGGGAAUAUUGGACAAUGGGCGCAAGCCUGAUCCAGCCAUACCGCGUGGGUGAAGAAGGCCUUCGGGUUGUAAAGCCCUUUUGUUGGGAAAGAAAAGCAGCAGGUUAAUACCCCGCUGUUCUGACGGUACCCAAAGAAUAAGCACCGGCUAACUUCGUG
rnacentral:rRNA from 1 species